AACGAACGCUGGCGGCAUGCCUAACACAUGCAAGUCGAACGAGACCUUCGGGUCUAGUGGCGCACGGGUGCGUAACGCGCGGGAACCUGCCUUUAGGUUCGGAAUAACUCAGAGAAAUUUGAGCUAAUACCGGAUGAUGUCUUCGGACCAAAGAUUUAUCGCCUUUAGAUGGGCCCGCGUUGGAUUAGCUAGUUGGUGGGGUAAAGGCCUACCAAGGCGACGAUCCAUAGCUGGUCUGAGAGGAUGAUCAGCCACACUGGGACUGAGACACGGCCCAGACUCCUACGGGAGGCAGCAGUGGGGAAUAUUGGACAAUGGGCGAAAGCCUGAUCCAGCAAUGCCGCGUGAGUGAUGAAGGCCUUAGGGUUGUAAAGCUCUUUUACCCGAGAUGAUAAUGACAGUAUCGGGAGAAUAAGCUCCGGCUAACUCCGUG
rnacentral:rRNA from 1 species